rnacentral:rRNA from 1 species
GGUUGAUCCUGCCAGUAUUAUAUGCUGAUGUUAAAGAUUAAGCCAUGCAUGUGUAAGUUUAAAGACCUAGUAGGAUGAAACUGCGGACGGCUCAUUAUAACAGUAAUAGUUUCUUUGGUUAGUAAGUACAAGGAUAACUUUGUGAAUGAUAAAGCUAAUACUUGAGACGAUCUGGGGAGUACUUGUACUUCUCGGCCGGUGGUCGCAAGGCUGCCGAGGAAUGACAUUCUCUUGUGAAAAAGGAUGCCACGACAAUUGAAGAAAGCGACGCUUUUUACAAGUAACCAAUGGG